UACGUAGGGGGCGAGCGUUGUCCGGAAUCAUUGGGCGUAAAGAGCGUGUAGGCGGUUUGGUAGGUCCGCUGUGAAAACUCGAGGCUCAACCUCGAGACGCCGGUGGAAACCAUCAGGCUAGAGUCCGGAAGAGGAGAGUGGAAUUCCUGGUGUAGCGGUGAAAUGCGCAGAUAUCAGGAAGAACACCCGUGGCUAAGGCGGCUCUCUAGUACGGUACUGACGCUGAGACGCGAAAGCGUGGGGAGCGAACAGG
rnacentral:rRNA from 1 species